rnacentral:rRNA from 1 species
ACACAUGCAAGUCGAGGGGCAGCAUGGUCUAGCAAUAGACUGAUGGCGACCGGCGCACGGGUGAGUAACACGUAUCCAACCUACCGGCUAUUCCGGGAUAGCCUUUCGAAAGAAAGAUUAAUACCGGAUAGUAUAGCGGGAAGGCAUCUUCUUGCUAUUAAAGAAUUUCGAUAACCGAUGGGGAUGCGUCCCAUUAGUUUGUUGGCGGGGUAACGGCCCACCAAGACAUCGAUGGAUAGGGGUUCUGAGAGGAAGGUCCCCCACAUUGGAACUGAGACACGGUCCAAACUCCUACGGGAGGCAGCAGUGAGGAAUAUUGGUCAAUGGACGAGAGUCUGAACCAGCCAAGUAGCGUGAAGGAUGACUGCCCUAUGGGUUGUAAACUUCUUUUAUAUGGGAAUAAAGUGAGCCACGUGUGGCUUUUUGUAUGUACCAUACGAAUAAGGAUCGGCUAACUCCGUGCCAGCAGCCGCGGUAAUACGGAGGAUCCGAGCGUUAUCCGGAUUUAUUGGGUUUAAAGGGAGCGUAGGCGGACUAUUAAGUCAGCUGUGAAAGUUUGCGGCUCAACCGUAAAAUUGCAGUUGAUACUGGUCGUCUUGAGUGCAGUAGAGGUAGGCGGAAUUCGUGGUGUAGCGGUGAAAUGCUUAGAUAUCACGAAGAACUCCGAUUGCGAAGGCAGCUUACUGGACUGUAACUGACGCUGAUGCUCGAAAGUGUGGGUAUCAAACAGGAUUAGAUACCCUGGUAGUCCACACAGUAAACGAUGAAUACUCGCUGUUUGCGAUAUACAGCA